AGAGAUUCUGUUCAACUUGAAAGGAAUUGUUGUAAGUUACCUAAUCUUUUUCUUUGCAUUCAAAGAAGUACUUAAUUUCUUUUUUUAAUGUUUUGUGAUACAUUCAGGGAAAAAAAAUUUGAGAUCAUGGGUUGAAAUAAACGAUUUUGUACAAACAGCUUAGGAGUGGAAAGUUGAAAAUCACAAAAUGAUCCCUGAAUGUUUAAUUACAUUUUGAUGUUGAUGAAUACAAAUUGGAGAUGAUGAAUUCUGUCGAAUGUUUUUCCAGGGGAGGUGGAGCGGACUUGGGGAAUGCAGGAAAAACAACGGUUGCAUCUGAACAAGUCUUGACAAAAGAUAUUGAACUCAGAGAGGCAUCAAACUUACCACUAAUGUAUUGUGUUUUUAGAAUGUGGUACUGUGGGUUUUUAUCUUUUGUGAAGACGCAGCAGGGAAAUUUUAUCUUUGUUGCACAAGUUUCGACAUCUUUGUAGACUUGUUUGUACAACCAUUUCAUUCGCUGGGUAAAUUCCAUAAAGCGAUGUAUGGUCAUAUGUAAUCAAAGAACCACCUGAUCCGCAACUUUGUCGAUAUGGGACCAAACAGUUCGAG
rnacentral:lncRNA from 1 species